rnacentral:rRNA from 1 species
GACGAACGCUGGCGGCGUGCCUAAUACAUGCAAGUAGAACGCACAGUUUAUACCGUAGCUUGCUACACCAUAGACUGUGAGUUGCGAACGGGUGAGUAACGCGUAGGUAACCUGCCUGGUAGCGGGGGAUAACUAUUGGAAACGAUAGCUAAUACCGCAUAAUAUUGAUUAUUGCAUGAUAAUUGAUUGAAAGAUGCUAUUGCAUCACUACCAGAUGGACCUGCGUUGUAUUAGCUAGUAGGUGAGGUAACGGCUCACCUAGGCGACGAUACAUAGCCGACCUGAGAGGGUGGUCGGCCACACUGGGACUGAGACACGGCCCAGACUCCUACGGGAGGCAGCAGUAGGGAAUCUUCGGCAAUGGACGAAAGUCUGACCGAGCAACGCCGCGUGAGUGAAGAAGGGUCUCGGGUCGUAAAGCUCUGUUGUAAGAGAAGAACGGGUGUGAGAGUGGAAAGUUCACACUGUGACGGUAUCUUACCAGAAAGGGACGGCUAACUACGUG